CCUACGGGUGGCAGCAGUCGAGAAUCAUUCACAAUGGGGGAAACCCUGAUGGUGCGACGCCGCGUGGGGGAAUGAAGGUCUUCGGAUUGUAAACCCCUGUCAUGUGGGAGCAAAUGAAAAAGAUAGUACCACAAGAGGAAGAGACGGCUAACUCUGUGCCAGCAGCCGCGGUAAUACAGAGGUCUCAAGCGUUGUUCGGAAUCACUGGGCGUAAAGCGUGCGGUGGCUGUUUCGUAAGUCGUGUGUGAAAGGCGCGGGCUCAACCCGCGGACGGCACCUGAUACUGCGAGACUAGAGUAAUGGGAGGGGGACGGGAAAUCUCGGUGGCGGAGGGAAAUGCGUAGAUAUCGAGAGGAAAACUCGUGGCGGAGGCGAGUUCCUGGACAUUAACUGACGCUGAGGGACGGAGGCCAGGGGAGCGAAAGGGGUUAGGUACCCGAGUAGUC
rnacentral:rRNA from 1 species